GUGCUCAUUUUGGCAGCACAUAUACUAAAAUUGGAACCAUACAGAGAAGAUUAGCAUGGCCCCUGCACAAGGAUGACACACAAAUCUGUGAAGCAUUCCAUAUUUUU
rnacentral:snRNA from 1 species